rnacentral:rRNA from 2 species
UUAAGCGACUAAGCGUACACGGUGGAUGCCCUGGCAGUCAGAGGCGAUGAAGGACGUGCUAAUCUGCGAAAAGCGCCGGCGAGGUGAUAUGAACCCUUGACCCGGCGAUGUCCGAAUGGGGAAACCCAGUGCAAUCCGUUGCACUAUCGUUAACUGAAUACAUAGGUUAACGAGGCGAACCGGGGGAACUGAAACAUCUAAGUACCCCGAGGAAAAGAAAUCAACCGAGAUUCCCCCAGUAGCGGCGAGCGAACGGGGAGCAGCCCGGAGUCUGAAUCAGCUUGUGUGUUAGUGGAACGGUCUGGAAAGUCCGACGGUACAGGGUGAUAGUCCCGUACACGAAAAUGCACAUGCUGUGAACUCGAAGAGUAGGGCGGGACACGUGGUAUCCUGUCUGAAUAUGGGGGGACCAUCCUCCAAGGCUAAAUACUCCUGACUGACCGAUAGUGAACCAGUACCGUGAGGGAAAGGCGAAAAGAACCCCGGCGAGGGGAGUGAAAAAGAACCUGAAACCGUGUACGUACAAGCAGUGGGAGCCUCUUUAUGGGGUGACUGCGUACCUUUUGUAUAAUGGGUCAGCGACUUAUAUUCUGUAGCAAGGUUAACCGUAUAGGGGAGCCGAAGGGAAACCGAGUCUUAACUGGGCGUUAAGUUGCAGGGUAUAGACCCGAAACCCGGUGAUCUAGCCAUGGGCAGGUUGAAGGUUGGGUAACACUAACUGGAGGACCGAACCGACUAAUGUUGAAAAAUUAGCGGAUGACCUGUGGCUGGGGGUGAAAGGCCAAUCAAACCGGGAGAUAGCUGGUUCUCCCCGAAAGCUAUUUAGGUAGCGCCUCGUGAACUCAUCUUCGGGGGUAGAGCACUGUUUCGGCUAGGGGGCCAUCCCGGCUUACCAACCCGAUGCAAACUACGAAUACCGAAGAAUGUUAUCACGGGAGACACACGGCGGGUGCUAACGUCCGUCGUGAAGAGGGAAACAACCCAGACCGCCAGCUAAGGUCCCAAAGUCAUGGUUAAGUGGGAAACGAUGUGGGAAGGCACAGACAGCCAGGAUGUUGGCUUAGAAGCAGCCAUCAUUUAAAGAAAGCGUAAUAGCUCACUGGUCGAGUCGGCCUGCGCGGAAGAUGUAACGGGGCUAAACCAUGCACCGAAGCUGCGGCAGCGACGCUUAUGUGUUGUUGGGUAGGGGAGCGUUCUGUAAGCCGUUGAAGGUGUGCUGUGAGGCAUGCUGGAGGUAUCAGAAGUGCGAAUGCUGACAUAAGUAACGAUAAAGCGGGUGAAAAGCCCGCUCGCCGGAAGACCAAGGGUUCCUGUCCAACGUUAAUCGGGGCAGGGUGAGUCGACCCCUAAGGCGAGGCCGAAAGGCGUAGUCGAUGGGAAACAGGUUAAUAUUCCUGUACUUGGUGUUACUGCGAAGGGGGGACGGAGAAGGCUAUGUCAGCCGGGCGACGGUUGUCCCGGUUUAAGCAUGUAGGCGGAGGUUCCAGGUAAAUCCGGUACCUUAUUAACGCUGAGGUGUGAUGACGAGGCACUACGGUGCUGAAGUGAUAAAUGCCCUGCUUCCAGGAAAAGCCUCUAAGCAUCAGGUAACACGAAAUCGUACCCCAAACCGACACAGGUGGUCAGGUAGAGAAUACCAAGGCGCUUGAGAGAACUCGGGUGAAGGAACUAGGCAAAAUGGUGCCGUAACUUCGGGAGAAGGCACGCUGAUGUGUAGGUGAAGCCCCUGCGGGUGGAGCUGAAAUCAGUCGAAGAUACCAGCUGGCUGCAACUGUUUAUUAAAAACACAGCACUGUGCAAACACGAAAGUGGACGUAUACGGUGUGACGCCUGCCCGGUGCCGGAAGGUUAAUUGAUGGGGUUAGCGGCAACGCGAAGCUCUUGAUCGAAGCCCCGGUAAACGGCGGCCGUAACUAUAACGGUCCUAAGGUAGCGAAAUUCCUUGUCGGGUAAGUUCCGACCUGCACGAAUGGCGUAAUGAUGGCCAGGCUGUCUCCACCCGAGACUCAGUGAAAUUGAACUCGCUGUGAAGAUGCAGUGUACCCGCGGCAAGACGGAAAGACCCCGUGAACCUUUACUAUAGCUUGACACUGAACACUGGUCCUUGAUGUGUAGGAUAGGUGGGAGGCUUUGAAGCGUGGACGCCAGUCUGCGUGGAGCCAACCUUGAAAUACCACCCUUUAAUGGCUGGUGUUCUAACGUAGACCCGUAAUCCGGGUUGCGGACAGUGUCUGGUGGGUAGUUUGACUGGGGCGGUCUCCUCCCAAAGAGUAACGGAGGAGCACGAAGGUUGGCUAAUCCUGGUCGGACAUCAGGAGGUUAGUGCAAUGGCAUAAGCCAGCUUGACUGCGAGCGUGACGGCGCGAGCAGGUGCGAAAGCAGGUCAUAGUGAUCCGGUGGUUCUGAAUGGAAGGGCCAUCGCUCAACGGAUAAAAGGUACUCCGGGGAUAACAGGCUGAUACCGCCCAAGAGUUCAUAUCGACGGCGGUGUUUGGCACCUCGAUGUCGGCUCAUCACAUCCUGGGGCUGAAGUAGGUCCCAAGGGUAUGGCUGUUCGCCAUUUAAAGUGGUACGCGAGCUGGGUUUAGAACGUCGUGAGACAGUUCGGUCCCUAUCUGCCGUGGGCGCUGGAGAAUUGAGGGGGGCUGCUCCUAGUACGAGAGGACCGGAGUGGACGCAUCACUGGUGUUCGGGUUGUCAUGCCAAUGGCAUUGCCCGGUAGCUAAAUGCGGAAGAGAUAAGUGCUGAAAGCAUCUAAGCACGAAACUUGCCCCGAGAUGAGUUCUCCCUGAGACUUUAAGUCUCCUGAAGGAACGUUGAAGACGACGACGUUGAUAGGUCGGGUGUGUAAGCGCAGCGAUGCGUUGAGCUAACCGAUACUAAUGAACCGUGAGGCUUAACCUU